rnacentral:rRNA from 1 species
GAUGAACGCUGGCGGCGUGCCUAAUACAUGCAAGUCGAGCGAACAGACGAGGAGCUUGCUCCUCUGACGUUAGCGGCGGACGGGUGAGUAACACGUGGAUAACCUACCUAUAAGACUGGGAUAACUUCGGGAAACCGGAGCUAAUACCGGAUAAUAUAUUGAACCGCAUGGUUCAAUAGUGAAAGACGGUUUUGCUGUCUCUUAUAGAUGGAUCCGCGCCGCAUUAGCUAGUUGGUAAGGUAACGGCAUACCAAGGCAACGAUGCGUAGCCGACCUGAGAGGGUGAUCGGCCACACUGGAACUGAGACACGGUCCAGACUCCUACGGGAGGCAGCAGUAGGGAAUCUUCCGCAAUGGGCUAAAGCCUGACGGAGCAACGCCGCGUGAGUGAUGAAGGUCUUCGGAUCGUAAAACUCUGUUAUUAGGGAAGAACAAAUGUGUAAGUAACUAUGCACGUCUUGACGGUACCUAAUCAGAAAGCCACGGCUAACUACGUG